CCUACGGUGGGCUGCAGUGGGGAAUAUUGGACAAUGGGCGAAAGCCUGAUCCAGCCAUGCCGCGUGUGUGAAGAAGGCCUUCGGGUUGUAAAGCACUUUCAGUGGGGAAGAAAGCCUUGGGGCUAAUACCCUCGAGGAAGGACAUCACCCACAGAAGAAGCACCGGCUAACUCCGUGCCAGCAGCCGCGGUAAUACGGAGGGUGCGAGCGUUAAUCGGAAUUACUGGGCGUAAAGCGCGCGUAGGCGGUCUGAUAAGCCGGUUGUGAAAGCCCCGGGCUCAACCUGGGAACGGCAUCCGGAACUGUCAGGCUAGAGUGCAGGAGAGGAAGGUAGAAUUCCCGGUGUAGCGGUGAAAUGCGUAGAGAUCGGGAGGAAUACCAGUGGCGAAGGCGGCCUUCUGGACUGACACUGACGCAGAGGUGCGAAAGCGUGGGUAGCAAACAGGAUUAGAUACCCGAGUAGUC
rnacentral:rRNA from 1 species